UGCUUCCGGUAGUUCGGGGCGGGUUUGGCGCAUGCCAGAAUUCCCAGUACAGAACCUUACGGCGUGAAGCGCCGUGAGCGAGCCGGUUCUUCCGCCACAGAACACCAGGCCUUUCUCGAGACCUCUGACCUUUCACUGGGCGAGACGGCCGCGAGUCCCACGCAUGCUCAGUACUUCCGUGUGGGCCUUGGCGCUCAGUGAACAGUCUGCUUCCGUAUCGUGAACAUCAGUGCAGCAGUUCUGGUCACCUGGAUUUAUAAACACCAAGAAGUAGCAACAGCCAGUGUGCAAGUCACUGACAACCCAAGUCACCAAAAAUCUUACUGAGAACCCAUUAGCUCCUUGAAUUAAAGAUUAUUUUGUGAAAAGAGGCUUGAUCGUCUUGUUCUGCACCUGAAAUAAAGCAUUUCCCAUUC
ensembl:antisense 1810041H14Rik RIKEN cDNA 1810041H14 gene